GGAGCCGUAGCGAAAGCGAGUUUUAACUGAGCGUUCAGUUACUUGACGUAGACCCGAAACCGGGCGACCUACCCAUGAGCAGGAUGAAGCGAAAGUAAAAUUUCGUGGAGGUCCGAACCCACGAGCGUUGAAAAGCUCGGGGAUGACUUGUGGGUAGCGGUGAAAUUCCAAUCGAGCCCGGAGAUAGCUGGUUCUCCCCGAAAUAGCUUUAGGGCUAGCCUCAAGGUGAGAGAUACGGAGGUAGAGCACUGAAUGUCCUAGGGGGUAUUGCACCUACCGAAGACUAUCAAACUCCGAAUGCCGUCAUCUUAUACUUGGGAGUCAGACUGUGGGUGAUAAGAUUCAUAGUCGAAAGGGCAACAGCCCAGAUCGUCAGCUAAGGUCCCUAAAUGUAAGUUAAGUGGUAAAGGAUGUGGGAUUGCACAGACAACCAGGAUGUUGGCUUAGAAGCAGCCACUCAUUCAAAGAGUGCGUAAUAGCUCACUGGUCGAGUGAUCCUGCGCCGAAGAUUUCCGGGGCUAAAACUUACUACCGAAGCUACGGCAUCAGUAAUGAUGGGUAGGGGAGCUUCCCAUAC
rnacentral:rRNA from 1 species